rnacentral:lncRNA from 1 species
UCGGGUUGACAUGGGUUUGACCUAAAUUGAUUAGAUGGAGUCUAAUCUAAUCAAGUCAAUAUGCAUCUGGACCUACUACUAGCUACAUGUAGAGCUCGUAGGGUCACACACAUUAAGAAAUAAUCAAGAAUAAAUUUUGAUUGGUUGGUUGGACCAAAGAACCAACUAGGGUUGUCAGGAAACAUGUUGGCACAUGUGGCACAAACCCUAUCUCCUUAAUCAAGCUAGAUCAAAAUCUUAUUGAAUUAGCUAACUCGAUUAUGCUAUUAAUUAAAUUGGGUUAAGUUCUAACUUGGAUC